GACGGGUGAGUAACACGUGGGCAACCUGCCUGUAACACUGGGAUAACUCCGGGAAACCGGAGCUAAUACCGGAUAACCUUUUUUCUUGCGUAAAAAAAAAUUGAAAGAUGGUUUCGGCUAUCACUUACAGAUGGGCCCGCGGCGCAUUAUCUAGUUGGUGAGGUAACGGCUCACCAGGGCAACGAUGCAUACCCGACCUGAGAGGGUGAUCGGCCACACUGGGACUGACACACGGCCCACACUCCUACGGGAGGCAGCAGUAGGGAAUCUUCCGCAGUGGACGAAAGUCUGACGGAGCAACGCCGCGUGAGUGAUGAAGGCUUUCGGGUCGUAAAACUCUGUUGUUAGGGAAGAACAAGUACAAGAGUAACUGCUUGUACCUUGACGGUACCUAACCAAAAAGCCACGGCUAACUACGUGCCACCAGCCGCGGUAAUACGUAGGGGGCAAGCGUUAUCCGGAAUUAUUGGGCGUAAAGCGCGCGCAGGCGGUUUCUUAAGUCUGAUGUGAAAGCCCACGGCUCAACCCUGGAGGGUCAUUGGAAACUGGGGAACUUGAGUGCAAAAAAGAGAGGCGGAAUUCCACGUGUAGCGGUGAAAUGCGUAAAGAUGUGGGAGGAACACCAGUGGCGAAGGCGGCCUCUUGGUCUGUAACUGACGCUGAGGCGCGAAAGCGUGGGGAGCAAACAGGAUUAGAUACCCUGGUAGUCCACGCCGUAAACGAUGAGUGCUAAGUGUUAGAGGGUCUCUGCCCUUUAGUGCUGCAGCUAAAGCAUUAAGCACUCCGCCUGGGGGAGUAC
rnacentral:rRNA from 2 species